AACAAACGCUGGCGGCGUGCCUAAUACAUGCAAGUCGAACGGGGAAGUACCUUCGGGUAUUGUACUAGUGGCGCACGGGUGAGUAACAGGUGGAUAAUCUUCCUUACAGUGGGGAACAACCAGUCGAAAGAUUGGCUAAUACCGCAUAAGACCACAGGCACUGCGGUGCUAGGGGUUAAAGGCUUCGGUCGCUGUUAGAUGAGUCCGCCUCCGAUUAGCUAGUUGGUGGGGUAAUGGCCUACCAAGGCUAUGAUCGGUAGCUGGUCUGAGAGGAUGACCAGCCACACUGGAACUGAGACACGGUCCAGACUCCUACGGGAGGCAGCAGUAGGGAAUAUUGCGCAAUGGGCGAAAGCCUGACGCAGCGACGCCGCGUGAGUGAUGAAGGCCUUCGGGUUGUAAAGCUCUGUUGUAGAUGACGAAAAAAAUGACGGUAAUCUACGAGAAAGGACCGGCUAACUUCGUGCCAGCCGCCGCCGUAAAAC
rnacentral:rRNA from 1 species